CGGGAUGUAGCGCAGCUUGGUAGCGCAUCCGCUUUGGGAGCGGAAGGCCGCAGGUUCAAAUCCUGUCAUCCCGACCA
rnacentral:tRNA from 1 species